GGAGCAUAGCUCAUCGAAAGAUGGGGUAAUUCUCCAUAGUCUCGUAAGAGUAAAGAUCUUAACUGAUCGUUGAAGGAUGAGCCUGCGUCCUAUCAGCUAGUUGGUGGGGUAAUGGCCUACCAAGGCUUUGACGGGUAGCUGGACUGAGAGGUCGAUCAGCCACAACUGCACUUAGACACGGGCAGUACACCUACGGGUGGCAGCAACCAGGAAUAUUGGGCAAUGGGCGAAAGCCUGACCCAGCGACGCCGCGUGGAGGAUGAAGGCCUUAGGGUCGUAAACUCCUUUUGAUAGUCCCUUCACGGACUAUAGAAUAAGCCUCUACUAACUACGUGCCAGAAGUCUCGGUAAUACGUAGGAGGCAAGCGUUAUCCGGAUUCAUUGGGCGUAAAGUGUGCGUAGGCGGUUUAAUAAGUCUUGACUUAAAUACUAUGGCUUAACCAUAGGAAAAGUUAGGAUACUAUUUUACUUGAGGAUUGUUAGGGAUGUCGGAACAGCUAGUGUAGCAGUGAAAUGCGUUGAUAUUAGCUGGAACACCAAAGGCGAAGGCAGACAUCUGGGAUUUUCCUGACGCUGAGGCACGAAAGCUAGGGUAGCGAAACAGAUUAGAUACCUGUGUAGUCCUAGCCGUAAACUAUGUCCGCUAGCUCUUGGCAUUUGCCAGGGGUGUAAGCUAACGCGUUAAGCAUUCCGCCUGGGGAGUACGGCCGCAAGGCUAAAACUCAAAGGAAUUGACGG
rnacentral:rRNA from 1 species